AUGCAGUGGAGGAAGUAUACCUACAACUAUGUUCACGGCCACUCCGGAAUAUUUGCCAUGCUACUCCCUCACCGAUCGGUUAACUGGGUUCAGGCGCCGUACGACUCUAUACUCGAGGCGGCAAGCCAGUGCCAUCUUAUCAACAGCGAAACGGACCGGGAGGUCAGGAGGUUGACGGAUCAAACAUGCUACGAUGCAUUCCGGGCCCUGGACAAGUUUUCACUGAACAUUAAUUGCCAUGGAUGGGCUCUGGCCAGGUGCCGUCGCAUAUACUCCUAUGACGUCUACCAAUGCAGCGUCCUGGUGCCAAACGUGCAAGGACCAAAGACCAUCUUCGACUGCGCGCCGACCCUACGACCAACGAACCCGGACGAGAGAGACAGACCCCCGUCCGGAUCAACCCCGUCGAGAAGGGCAGAUAAGGGGAAGGGUAAAGCGCCUGCUCAAAGAAAAGCUAAGAGUCGUAGAACUGAUAGGACAAGCGGCUCAGGCAGAGCAAAUCCAUCACAUACCGGGGUCUCUACACAGGCUCCAGGAUUUUGUACACUGGAGGCUCUCCAUACGCUGGGGGUGCUCCAUAUGCUGGUGGCUCCUCAUACCCUGGAGACACUGUACCCGCGGGCUAUUCCCCUCCCAGAACUCCUCGGCAUACUACGCAUGCAGAGCCCACUAGUUUCAAUAUACUUGAUUGCUUUAGGGACGAUCCCUCACUCGAUUCAAUCUUCAGAACUUCAAGUCCUGCAAAUCUUCCUCCCAAUCUACCCCCUGGAUACAUUAGAGAUGAAUCAUUCAAUGUAGAUGAAAUGGUAGGUGCGGGUCAUUCAGGCGGUCAAAAUGCACCUUAUAAUUUUCCACAACUUCCCGCAAGUCCACAACUACCAGGAAGCCCACAACAUCGUGCAUGGUCACCAACCACUAUUCCUCCAGGAUACAUUCUGGAUGAAUCAUUUGGUAUAGAUGCGUAUACGAACCAGGAAGACUUCGAAUCCAGUUCUCCGCUCAGAGGCUCCUUGGGAUCUCCGGAUGAAGGCACGUAUAUCUUACUCCGAUUUCCCAGACAAAUAUUCACUACUUCUUCGUGAGUUCUUUAAACUCCCGUAGAAUGUCGUGAAAAAUCUAGGAAUCAUGUGAAGUUACAUGUAAAACUCAUAGUAAAGUGAGGAAUGUUAAGAGAAAUUCACUACUCAACGCUGAUUUGAUUUGAUUGUAGGUGAACUAAGCAGUGAAAGUGUGCACCACAUGCUAUAGUAUUUAAUGAUUACUUUGCUCGGAUUUAUCCCAUCCAAUGAACAGCUGCACAUCUCAACGCAACAUUUCUGCACAUAGCUCAUGAAAAUGGCAAUGGUUUCAAUGACUCAAAAAACUUCAAAGUACACGAAACUCUCAAUGAACAAAACCGGCAAAAACCCGGCAAAUACGGGCAUUUCAAUUGUGAAGGAGUUUGCUUCAGUAAUUUUCUAAAUUCGUACUCUAUAUGAAAUUUUGAAGAGGGAAGCGUACAUCAAAACACUUAAAUCUGACUUUGUUAAGUGGUCUUUUCAGAGCCGUGACGUCCUUUGGGCAAAGAGGAGCAGUUACCCAAAGCGCCAACAAAAAAGGCAGUUAAAGUAAGACAAAAAGAAAAGGCGGGCGAAACGAAAGAGGAGAUAAAAGCGAAAAGAAGGGGAAAAAAUCGAAGAAAAAAAAUCCGAAAUGAAAAGAAAACGGGGGAGGGGGGGGGAGCGAGGAGAGAGCAUUCGUUUUAGAACCCAUAAUGAGGAGAUCAAUGCUGGUAUUCUUAGGUUAGGUAAGGUUAUGCGAUGAUGUUACCUCCUGUAGAACGAUUUUAUUUUGUAAGGAGAAAGGUACUCUCAAAUGUUAGGAGGCAUGUUUAAUAAAAGGCAAGGUCACGCCGUGCGCCAUCGUGCCUUCAAUUUUGCAGAUGCAACACGGACAUCCAUCAAGCACAAAUAAUUGUAUCUUUGCGCCGUCAUCAACGAGCGUCCUUUUCCCUUGCUUUGCUCUUUAUUUCCGUAUGUCUUAUUUAUGGUGGUGCUUCAACGGCUACUUGAGCAACACUAGCCGAAGAUAAGAGAGACGACAUAUUCAGGCCUCUUUUUUCAACUUUACUCCCGAAUCCGAGCGACACCUCAUCCGUAGAAUAGAGCGGAGCAUUGUGAGGCCACGCCUCGCGCCAUUGCGCCUUCAAUUUUGUUGAUGCAACACGGGCAUCCACCAAGAGCGAAUAGUUGCACGAGGGUAUUCGUAAAGUAAGUAUAUAUCUUUAUUUUCUCCGAAACUAAUGAAGAUAAAUUAAAUCGGUAAAAAUUGUUUUUACCGCCAUACGCUCAGCUUUUCCGAGAGCCUUUGUUUUUUAAAUGUGGUCUACCGAUUCGCGACUGACGUCUUUUUCCUCGCGCGCUCGUUACCGCGUGUCCAAAAUAUUUGAGCGCAGCAGCUCCUCAGACGAGUACAUGUUUUAACUAUGGUGUUUUGGGACGCUCAAGGAAUAUUGCUAAUCGAUUUUUGGAGAGAGGAAAAGCAAUCGAUGCCACUAGAUAUUGUGAAGUUUUGAAAAAACUGAAGUCUACGAUCAAGCGAAAACGGCCUGGUCUUUUGUCUCGUCAAGUUUUGCUCCUUCAAGACAACACUAGGCCUCAUGUGGCUCAUGUGACUCAAGACUUGUUCGCCUCAUUCAAAUGGGACCUUUUUUCUCAUCCACCGUGCUCACCGGACCUUGCUCCAAGCGAUUUUCAACUUUUUCCUGCGUGAAAGAAGAGCUUGGGUGGCCAAAAGUUCUCCACCGACGCAGAGUUGCAAGAAGCUGUAAAAAAAUGUUUCCAACGACAGUAUGCGCAAUUUUUUGAAGAUGGAAUCCACAAACUGCUAACACGGUAUCAGAAAUGUUUUCAACGGGGUGGAGAUUAUGUCGAAAAGUAAGGUAAGACAAUUCAAAGCCAAAAAGCUUCACAUAUUAUCCAAUUAACUGUGUUACAACCUUCUUUACGGUGAAAACAUGUACUCGUCUGAGGAGCUUCGCCGCGCUCGAAUAUUUUCGAUACGCGGUGGCGAGAAAUGGGCGCGGGAAAAAUGACGUCACUCGCGAACCGGUAAACCAAAUUUAAAAUACGAAGGUUUUUCGAAAAGCUGAGAGUAUGGCGGUAAAAACAGUUUUUACCGUUUUAAUUUAUCUUCGUUGGUUUCGGAGAAAAUAAAGAUAUACUUACUUUACGAAUGCCCCUCGUAUCUCUGCGCCGUCAUCAACGCGCGUCCUUUCCAUUACCCUAUUUCUAUACUUUGUGAGAGAGUUGAUAGAUUUUGAACCGAGAAAAAUCAAGGCAAGUCCAAAGCAGUCUAAUGUCCAGCGCGUCAAUUUACACCAAUUUUUUGUAGGGGGGGGGGGGAGAGCACAGCCAAAUGCCCACUUAUCUAAACUACGGUUGGAGUUUUCAAAAGCCUUGAAAUAUUGAAUUUGCAUUGAUUUGAUAGUCUUUGAAAUUCCAAAAUUCCAAGGAAAAGGAUCCCUCCCAGACCCCUUCUCCUUCUUGGUGGGUCCUCACCAGACCCUCCUAUGGGGACACUAAAAACAUCCUAGCCCCGCGCGCUGAGGGUUCUCGCAACUGUCCUGGGUCCUUUGUCAAUUUCAACAUGCGCUUUACUCCUCACCUCAUGACCUUAUCUAAUGGGCUGGUACCCGCAGCUACUAUCUUCUUGUUUUUCUCUAUUAUAAUGAAAGUUUAUCAUUGUUGAAGGUGGAGCAAAAGACACGACGGCCUGGACGUGUCCCGAACCCGAUUGCGGAGCAAUACUCACAAAUAAAAGUUCAAUAAAAGUGCAUAAAUGGAAACAUAAUACGGUUCGCCUGGGAUAUACCACAUGCAGAAGUGUGGUCAGGUCUUCGCCAGUGUGGAGGCCCUCGAUCAUCAUAUCAAUGCACACUUCGACAGUGAGUCCACAGAUCCUUCGCCCAAUGUUCUUGUGCGAAUCGGCGCACCUUUUAUUUAACUCAUAAUACUAGAGUUGUCUGCGGAUACCGGUGGAGAAAUUUUACUCGUAUGAAUGGUCCCUGGACACAAGACCGAAAAUCAUUUGACCUGUAAAACGAAUGACCUCCAAUUUCAGCCUGAGAUACUUGACCUGCAAAAUUUUACUCUUCGGACUUUUUAAAAGCGGGCUUGCCUAGGAUUUGAGUCCAAAAAUAUGCAAUAAGUCUACACGUAAUUUGCUCAUCUAGUACUUUCAGAAUAUUAAGUUAAAAACGCAAGGUCGAGUGACCUAUUUUGGUGUGUUUUACGAUGGAA
rnacentral:lncRNA from 1 species